GGAGUUGUAGCUUAGUGGCAGAGCACUUGCCUAGCAUGCAUGACGCACUGGGUUCAAUCCUCAGCACCA
rnacentral:tRNA from 1 species